GCCUGUCAGUUGUUCGGAACUGUCAAAUUUUUGUUCUAACUGACAGGCCGAUAUCGUCCGGCGGCCUGUCAGUCAUGGUUAGGGAGGCGAAUAGGGGAAUUUUCUGCAAUACUCGAGCGUGGCAGUUUAAGAUAUGAGAGAUACCUUAGACCUAAUAGAACAACCUUGUAAAGUAUUUAGCUCUAUAUGUAGUGACGCGCGCCUAGGAUAGACGAUCAGAUUAGUAAAAAAAAAUGGAUAGUCUGAAAUACUCGAGCGCGUCAGAUUAAGAUAUUGGGGGUUGAUUUUAGUGUUUAAAGACUAAAUUUAACUAAUCUGACGAUAAGUCCUUGACGCCGCCGAGUUAUAGGGUCGCGAACUUGUAAAAAAAAAACGUUAAUCCGGCAUUCUCGAGCGCGAUUUUUUUAUUUUUUAUUUUGAAGAAUAUAAUCUAAAACUUACUAAAAAUACAAAAUCUGCCGGUUUCCGCAUGACCGGAAGUGUGGAGGAGCCAUUUCGUCUUCCUAAGAACGCGUUGC